UACGUAGGGGGCAAGCGUUGUCCGGAAUUAUUGGGCGUAAAGCGCGCGCAGGCGGUCAUUUAAGUCUUAUGUUUAAACCCAGGGCUCAACCUUGGGGCGCAUGGGAAACUGGGUGGCUUGAGUGUAGGAGAGGAAAGUGGAAUUCCACGUGUAGCGGUGAAAUGCGUAGAGAUGUGGAGGAACACCAGUGGCGAAGGCGACUUUCUGGCCUAUAACUGACGCUGAGGCGCGAAAGCGUGGGGAGCAAACAGG
rnacentral:rRNA from 1 species